GGAUAUAGCUCAGUUGGUAGAGUGCUUGCUUAGCUUGCACAAGGCCAUGGGUUCAAUCCCCAGCACUAUCCA
rnacentral:tRNA from 1 species